GCCAGAGUGGUGUAGUGGUUUGAAUGUUGGACUAUGAGUCUGGAGAUCAAGGUUUGAUUCCCAGCUUGGCCA